GGGGUCCUUUCUCACUUCCCGCCAGAAAUAUAUGUGUGUUUGGAACUUUGCAGACAGUUUAGGAGCUCAUUCACGGCCUCUAGAAAAGAACUCCUGAACUGGAGUUGGCUGAAGAGCCUUCUACCUCUGGCAUUUAAAGCGUGCUGGAGCGAGGGGAAAGGCUCUUAUAGGGCCACGAGGGGCAGAGGUGGGGGGCUCCUAAGCCUGGGAGCAGCAAGGCCUUUCGAGGUGUGGGUUCUGCCUGAGCACAGCAUCAGGGAUCUGUGAGCAUGAUCUGGAGGACCCUGGGUGGGAUGGGGAAGCGUUUAUCCAAGGGGCCGCCGACUUUCCUGCCCUCAGCCCCCUCUUGCUCCCUCUGCCUAUCUGUCCUGUUCCUGAGGGUCAAGUGUCUCAGAGGAUCUUGGAGAUCUGGUAACCGCCCCCUCGCACUGAAGCGGCUAAAGGCAGACCAUGGACUAGACCCGCCGGAGGGGCUGGCACUGCCCCCACCCCCUCUGCCAGCCGACGCCUCUUGCUAAAAACAGCCGGGCCCGGGGCCUUUCAGGCCACCCCCUCCAGGCCCGGGCAGGUAUUAGAGGCCGAAGCUGGGCCAGGCGAGCUGGACACCAUGCUGUUCACAGAGACCGCCCACUUCGUGGUGAAUUUCCUUCUGUCCAGGCAGCCCCGGGCCACGACCCCGCAUCUCCUGGACCAGGUGUUGUGUUUCUGGGGCUGCCGAGGCCCGGUCCUGCCGGCGCCCGCCUCCCGCCGCAGCCUGGCCGACCACUGGCUGAGCCCGCAGCGCCGCGCCCGCCGGGCGCCGCCUGCUGCUGGCCGGCGCGCAACCUGCCGCCCCCACCGGGGCCACCAGCCCGGCCAGCCGCUGCGGAGCGCGCCCGCGCCUCCCGUGGAAGCACCAGUGGCAGAAUAUUAACUACCAACUCCUGGACAAGAGGAAGAGCCAUCUGGUUCCCCUGCGCCCAAUGUGAGGAAACAGGCUCCAGGUUCAUCACAUGGUGGUCCCAAGGCCGACUUGUGCAAGCCAGGAUGACAGGAGGACGGCCUGGGAGCACUGCUCGAUCCCAUAGCCCUUCCCUGUGGCUGAAGAUGAUCCAUCUUCGCCCUGUCUCCUGAGGUCUCCGUGUUUCUGCCCUUCACGGCCCAAAUAAAGCAGCUUUUGCCUCUCUCUGGCCCUCUCCACUUUGCAGGGUGAUGAUCUCAGUUCCUUCCAUUCGCAUACACUGUUAGACUGAACCCAAAGGCUGGGAGGGCAUCUGCUGCCACCCCUGACCCUUCCACUGCUCCCAUCUCCCCCGUGAACCCCCCAGUGGGAUAGCCUAGAUGACCCAGACCUGGCUCCUGCCCUCUAGACUCUCGCUGUGCCAUAGAAAGAGAAAGGCAGAGACAUACACCAGCUCAGUAAAGUGCCACAGGAGAGUGAUAUUGUUUGGGGCACAGUGAGUCCUCUGGUGAGUGAGGAAAGCCUUCAGGAAGGGUCUUGAGCUGAAUCUUGACAGGUGGGCAGGCACUGGGUAGGCAUAAGUAGCGCUCCAGGCAGAUUUGGCAGCACAGAGAAAGGUUUGGUCAUUUGCAGGCUGAACUCCUCAUCCCACUGAGGGAACCGUGAGACUGGCGGCCAAAUGGGCUCUGCUUAAAAUGAGGCUAGCUGGACUGGAGCUUCAAAGACGUUGAAGGCUAGAAUAGGGGCUGGACAUUCUCCGGGAGGAAGUAGGGAACCAAGGACAAGUUUUAAACAGGGGAGAGACAUGGUCCCAUCAUGGCAUCUCCAGGCCUAGAGAGUCUCAGAGUCCACUCGGGCGGGCAACAAGUGGUCUCCAGCCCUCAACUACACCCAAGGCCUGCGGCACCUGUCCCUGUGCUUCCCCUUACCCUCUCCCAGAUCGUACUCAGGACUGAGGCCAGGAGUGGAUCUUGCCCAAGC
ensembl:lncRNA